rnacentral:rRNA from 1 species
CUCAGGACGAACGCUGGCGGCGUGCUUAACACAUGCAAGUCGAACGGAAAGGCCCUGCUUUUGUGGGGUGCUCGAGUGGCGAACGGGUGAGUAACACGUGAGUAACCUGCCCUUGACUUUGGGAUAACUUCAGGAAACUGGGGCUAAUACCGGAUAGGAGCUCCUGCUGCAUGGUGGGGGUUGGAAAGUUUCGGCGGUUGGGGAUGGACUCGCGGCUUAUCAGCUUGUUGGUGGGGUAGUGGCUUACCAAGGCUUUGACGGGUAGCCGGCCUGAGAGGGUGACCGGCCACAUUGGGACUGAGAUACGGCCCAGACUCCUACGGGAGGCAGCAGUGGGGAAUAUUGCACAAUGGGCGGAAGCCUGAUGCAGCAACGCCGCGUGCGGGAUGACGGCCUUCGGGUUGUAAACCGCUUUCGCCUGUGACGAAGCGUGAGUGACGGUAAUGGGUAAAGAAGCACCGGCUAACUACGUG